rnacentral:lncRNA from 1 species
CAAACCCCUAAAAAAGUCAUUUGCUACAAAGACAGUUAAAAUGCCCCUUCAAAGAAGCUUUUCAUGUCAGAGGCUUGAAAUUGUGAUUUCUAGAAGGAGAAAUCAAAACAAAAUGCUAAAAUAGGAGGAAAAAAGUGGCAAUCACCAGGUAAUGGCCAAAAGGAAUUGAUGGCAGGUCAUAUGAAACACAUCCUGUAUUCUACUAGAAAUGAGAAGGAUAUUUUAGUGAGGCUGAAGUUUGUGCCACACAGGAUGAAAUCAAAGUCAGAGAAUAAAUAUAAAUUACCUAUAGAUAAUUUGUAACUACCAAAGAGCUUCUGGUGGAGUCUCUAUUAUAAAGAGUGGCCCAAGAGGGCUAUCAAGUCAUAAACCUGGCAUAAGAAUUUUCAUUGUGUGAGUGGGGGUUCUUAUUGUUGGAUCUGUGUGACAGGGAUUUUUGGCAUAGGGCUCAUGGGGAGGGCUUCAUAAACUACUUGAAUUUGAGUGCAAAACAUGUGUAAAUAUGUGUGAAGUGCACGUGGCGGCAUCUGCUGGCAGUCUUUUUAAAGUCCAUCCUCCCACUCUUCGUUUUUUUUCCCAGUCUUUCUUGCAAUAGAUGUGGUCAUACAAUUAAGUUCCAGCCAAUGAGACUUGAGUGGAAGUAAGAUGAAAUCUCUGUGGCGUGCCUUUAAAAGGAUAGGGAAAUAUCCUUUCUGUAAAUCUUUUCUUCUCUCCGGCUGCCUAGAAUAUACACAAAAUGACAAGAGUUCCAGCUCUUCCUGAUACCACGAGCAGCCUUGGAAAUGGAAACCAUGCAUGAUAACUCCUAGACAGCUGUGCUCCUAUGGAAACUUUUGGAAUAGACCCACACGGAGAAAUUACGAAAAUAAGACAAAACGAAAAUAAGAUAAAAUCAAAAAGAAAAGAAAAAGAAAAAAACGCAGAAAACCUGUGAAACACCUGGUUUUGGCAGCUUUUUGUCUCACCAGAGGCGGCAUGUUUCAGUGCCAUCUGUUAGGCAGCCAUGUUCUGCUCGUCCUUCUCCGGGUAAGUUCCCCUGUGGGCUGCACAGGAUCCGACUGGCAGCAGAUUGCAGCCGACCUCAGCACUGAAGCCUCCCUGGGAUUUGUAGCCCUGCAGCCUGCCGGGCGGAGGUUAUCUCUCCAACGUGGCCCGUCUGCAGGCUCUCCUUUUGACCUACCCAAAUGGUAUUUAAAGCAGCAAUUAGAAUGACUCCCCAGCGCCCAGGCUAUUUCAAAUCUUUUAAAUGUUUGAAUACAUUGCUUUAACAUGUUGACCUUUCUCUGUACCCAGUGAAACUAGGCCAAACAAACAAAUAAAUAAAUAAACUACUUUGGUUUGUGACCGAAGAAGAAAUUGCCAUCUUAGCACUCUUCCUAGAGCUCCUGCAUACCCCUGUCUUUCAGGUGCCAACAGAACAUAGGAAAACAGCCAAUCAUUGAAAUGCACAGCUGUGUAUUCCUUCACACAUUGGUUUCUCUUUCUUAUGUGUUCAAUGAUAAUUCCAAACAUCUAUUGAAUUACAACUAAAGGAUCCUAUUUCAUGCAAGUAUAUUCUCUGCUUAAGCAAUUACUAAUAUCCAGUUUAUUUUAUUUUCUUUUUCUUUUUUUAUUUUUUUUAAGAUGGAGUCUCGCACUGUCGCCUGGACUGGAGUGCAGUGCAGUGGCGCGAUCUCGGCUCACUGCAACCUCUGCCUUACAGGUUCAAGAGAUUCUCCUGCCUCAGCCCCCCGAAUAGCUGGGAUUACAGGUGCCUGGCACCAUGCCCGGCUAGUUUUUUGUAUUUUUAGUAGACACCGGGUUUCACUAUGUUGGCCAGAGUGGUCUUGAACGCCUGACCUCGUGAACCACCUGCCUCAGCCUCCCAAAGUGCUGGGAUUAUAGGCAUGAGCCACAGCACCCGGCCUAAUAUCCAGUUUUGUAUUUUUGUAUUUUUUUUAAUGAAAUCUCAUGUGGAAGAAAAGGCCAUUCUAGAAAAUAUUAACGUUUUCUGAUACAUGACAAUGGAAGAAGCUCUGUUUAAUUUUCCUGCCAUAAUUUCAGAGUCCUUUGGUUUAUGUUUUGUUGGUGUAAUCUUUCUGUGUGAUGGUCCUUUCUGACAGCCUCGGUUUUUGUUUGACUUUUCUUUAACACUUAUCUUCAGAGAGACAAGUGCUUUUUUGCAAAUCUAGUCCUCUGAGCAUAUGUGAUUGUUGCAUAUUUUACAGAAGCUUUCGGAGAGAAAUGAAGAAGAUAGUUUACAUUUUACAUCAUACAGCAAUAAUUACUUUAUUAAAUAAUUUAAUUUAAUUACUAUAAAUUCUCCCCAAGAGAUAUUUCUGCUCUGCCCAAAGUCUUGUGUCUCUAAAUUCCUACUGGGUCUGAUUUCAUAUUCUAGCUCUCUUUCUUCUUUAUGUACACCUAUAAUGUGCAUAAAUGACCUAUACAUUGCCUCACACUGACUUCUCAAAUCUUGCAUCAUUUCACCCAUUAUACUUUCACAAAACAAUGGACCCUCCAAUUAUUGGGAUACAUUCUCCUGGGAAGGCAGUGGGGACUAGAAAUAACUGCUUUUGUCUUCAUCUAAUUCUUUUUUAUUAUUUAUUUUUCACUGUGCUGACAUACCUUCCAGCAAAUUCAGACAGAAAUAAGCCUGUCUAAGGGAACAAAAUUGGUGCAAACUGUGACAGGAUGGUCCCUGAGCUAUACAAAAUUCAUACUUUCAAGAGAUAAAUUCUAGCUAUAUGCUCUGCAUUGGAGUAUAUUCUCAUUAUAAAACAUUUUUAAAGGAGUUUUAGCACAUUUACAUAUUGUUUAUGAGGCAAUUUAAAAAGAAGAUGAAAAACAACGAUAACCCCAUAUUUCUUUUUAGCUUUCUUGUGAUUAUUAGUAGUUGAUACUUCUUGCUUGCAAUGAUUUGUUAAUAUUUUCAAUUUCAUGGUUUUAUAUCUCAAUAUUCAUUUAUAAAUUCAUAUUCUAAAAGUUACCCUAAGAAAAUAUCAUGGAGAAUCUAAACAUAAAAUGAAUAAUUCAAGCUUUUGAUGCAGGAAAAACAUGUUCAAAUUGGUUUUAUUUAACUUAAAAUAACAAUAGUUUUAAUUCCGAUGAAUUCAGUUUUCAAAGAAAAUAGGAGCUACUUAGCUUAUUAUUCAUAUAGUUCAUGCUAAGCAUGAGAAACAAGGAGCUCUGUUUACGCUGACAUUAUUUGGAUGGAAGCUGCCAUGUAUAAUAAGAUGCUAUGUCCUCCUCUUUUUGUGAAUCCAUCCACUAACCUCCUUGUUUAGCUGCACCGCCUAUGCAUAGCAUGACUCACCUUGGGAUCCUUUGGAGUUGUGUCCCCUAAGAUUGGAAAAGGGGCAUCCCUACUGCUAUGUUAUCUUUUCCUACUUGAUAAUCAGUACAUUCUGUUGUGAAGAAUUAAUGCUUGAAAGUGACAUUUAAAAUUCCCAAAUGUGUAGGUAUUUAUAUAUCAAAAAUAAAAUUGUUAACUAAAUUUAACAAAAUCAAAAUAUAAUGAAUUAUAUUUUCAGCCUAUCUGUUUUAAUCCUCUUAUCAAACAAGCUGACUGGCACCAUUCUGGCUGGGUUGGGUUUUUUAAGAUUAGGCCUGGCAAAUAAAUUGUCUUUCUUUAAAAAGAAAUCUAGGUGCCAAUGGUUGACACUGUCUGAGUACUUAUUGUGGGCUAGAUACUGCUUCACUUAUUUCCCAUGUAAGAAGUCUUUUAUUCCUCACAACAACCUAGUAAGUUGGGUGUAAUUAUUAUCACUACUUCACAGGUUAAAAAUAAAAAUUAAAAAAAACCUGAAGCACAAAGAAAUUAAACAUCUUUGUCAAACAACUAAAAAUGUUAGAAUCAGAAUUUUUACCCAGGCUGACAUCAGAAUCUGAGUCUUUCGUCUUGUGCUAUAAUUAUAAAAUAUUCAGGGUCCAUAGUGAGUGAGGCUUAGAGAUCACAAAAUGUCACCAGACAGAUAAGUGCUAAAAGCUGGAGAAUAAAGCUUAAUAUUUUAUUUUCUACUUUCCUUUUCAAAAGAUAUCCAAUUGCCCAAAGUAGAAACCUAAGAAUCAUGAUGUUUUCUUUUCUCUUACUGAUAUGGUUUGGAUGUUUGUCUCCUCCAAAUCUCAUGUUGAAAUGAAAUCCUCAGUGUUGGAGGUGGGGCCUGGUGAGAGGGGUUUGGGUCAUGGAGGUGGAUCACUCAUGAAUGCUUUGAGCCCCCACACAGAGUCCCUAUUGUAAUAAUGAGGAGUUCUUGCUCAAAGUUCACAUGAGAUCUGGUUGUUUAAAAGAGCAUGGCACCUCCCUCCUUACUCCACCUCUUUCUCUGUGAUAUGCUGAAACGGUUUGGAUGUGUCCCCACCCAAAUCUCAUCUUGAUUUCCCACAUGUUAUGGGAGGGACCUUGUGGGAAGUAAUUGAAUCAUGGGGACAGGUAUUUCCUGUGCUGUUCUUGUGAUAGUGAACAAGUCUCAUGAGAUCUGACAGUUUUAAAAAAAGGAGUUUCCCUGUACAAGUUAUUUUGUCUGUCACCACGUGAGACGUGCCUUUUAUCUUCUGCCAUGAUUGUGAGGCCUCCCCAGCCACAGGAAACUGUAAGUUCAAUAAAACUUUCCUUUGUAAAUUGCCCAGUCUUGCAUAUGUCUUUAUCAGCAGUGUGAAAAUGGACUAAUACAGUAAACUGGCACCAGUAGAAUGAGGCGUUGCUGAAAAUAUACCUGAAAAUAUGGAAGCAACUUUGGAACUGG